UACGUAGGGUGCAAGCGUUGUCCGGAAUUAUUGGGCGUAAAGAGCUCGUAGGCGGUUUGUCGCGUCGAAUGUGAAAACUCGGGGCUCAACCCCGGGCCUGCAUUCGAUACGGGCAGACUAGAGUUCGGUAGGGGAGUCUGGAAUUCCUGGUGUAGCGGUGAAAUGCGCAGAUAUCAGGAGGAACACCGGUGGCGAAGGCGGGACUCUGGGCCGAUACUGACGCUGAGGAGCGAAAGCGUGGGGAGCAAACAGG
rnacentral:rRNA from 1 species